rnacentral:rRNA from 1 species
AUUGAACGCUGGCGGCAGGCCUAACACAUGCAAGUCGAGCGGAUGAAGGGAGCUUGCUCCUGGAUUCAGCGGCGGACGGGUGAGUAAUGCCUAGGAAUCUGCCUGGUAGUGGGGGAUAACGUCCGGAAACGGGCGCUAAUACCGCAUACGUCCUGAGGGAGAAAGUGGGGGAUCUUCGGACCUCACGCUAUCAGAUGAGCCUAGGUCGGAUUAGCUAGUUGGUGGGGUAAAGGCCUACCAAGGCGACGACCGUAACUGGUCUGAGAGGAUGAUCAGUCACACUGGAACUGAGACACGGUCCAGACUCCUACGGGAGGCAGCAGUGGGGAAUAUUGGACAAUGGGCGAAAGCCUGAUCCAGCCAUGCCGCGUGUGUGAAGAAGGUCUUCGGAUUGUAAAGCACUUUAAGUUGGGAGGAAGGGCAGUAAGUUAAUACCUUGCUGUUUUGACGUUACCAACAGAAUAAGCACCGGCUAACUUCGUG